rnacentral:rRNA from 1 species
UACGAAGGGGCUAGCGUUGCUCGGAAUCACUGGGCGUAAAGCGCACGUAGGCGGAUUGUUAAGUCAGGGGUGAAAUCCUGGAGCUCAACUCCCAGAACUGCCUUUGAUACUGGCGAUCUCGAGUCCGGGAGAGGUGAGGUGGAACUGCGAGUGUAGAGGUGAAAUUCGUAGAUAUUCGCAAGAACGACCAGUGGCCGAAGGCGGCUCACUGGCCCGGCUACGUGAACGCUGAGGU